rnacentral:lncRNA from 1 species
UAGCCGCUUGAAUCCAGUCUGCUUAGUGAAAUUAGAUUACUUCUGAAGCUGGAUAUAUAUCGAACCUCAUUCAACUUCCUCACUGCUCCAUCAUGUGUCUGUAAGCUGACCGUCCCACUAUCUUUGAUCUCAUAGCUCGAUCCAUCCGAUAAGUGAACAGCCCUUACUGCUCUCUAGGGAGUCAAACAGCUCUUCUCUGCAACAAACAUGAUGCGAAUAUGUAGAAUCUAAAAUUCACUGGGAGAAAGAAGUAGAUACCUCAUCAAUCAUCAGAAGAAUAUCAUUACUUUCUUUGUAUCGCUACCUGCCAUCGCCACAGCAGCUUUUGUCCAAUCUCUGAGUUGUGGAUAAUCUCUGACUCGAUGCUCCAACUCAUCACACCGGUAGUACCUGAUCUUGCUCGAAUCCCUUGACUUGGAUCUAGAUCGCCCACUUUGCGAUCUUCUGCCACUUUGUCUUCUGCCACCACUACCUCCAGUCAUCGUCAAAGUCGAGUCACCAUCUGAACUCGAGGCUCGAU